AACUUGGCUAGCCCUACAAUGCCCUCUGUCUAUUGGUUAGGGUCCUUCCCUCUGACCAAUAAGCUCUGGAACUGCCGCACGGAUCUCUGGGAGUUGUAGUUUCCGUGUAACUCCAUCUACAGUAAACCAGCAACAAUUUCUCCCUCAAGAAGGCAGGAAUCAACCAUGCUGUAACCACCCGUCACAAAUUUCGUUCUUUGACGACAUGGAUUCUACCUCAAUUUAACUGUCAUCAGCAGGGCGCAGUUCUUUGCCUCGAAAGG